GCUGGCAGAUCUGCUGCACGUCAGACGUGGAGGGGCCACGGGGGCACGGCUGCAGGCAGCGCACAUCACGGCUCCUGGAUCUCAGAUCCCGUUUCUUGGGGGCUCAUCAUUCCUGUCUGGUAGCAGAGCCCGCUCAGAAUCCCUGCUCUUGGCUGCUGUCCCCAUCAGCGCGGGGCUGAGGACUCCCGUGUCUUUCCCAGCCCUGCGGAGGAAUCUCCUUUUCCUGUGAGCUGUUGGAAGGACCGGAGCGUGGGUCCAUCCUGCUGCCUCCCCAGGAGCUGCUCUGCUGCUGUCCUCAGAGCUGUUGUCCUGCCGUGCGCACAGCUUUCCUUCACCCCUGCACAGGGGCAGAAGAGCGCCGUGAGCUGAUGUGCAAUGAGGACUCUGGUCCAGGCUCGCCUGCGUGACU